rnacentral:rRNA from 1 species
AUUGAACGCUGGCGGCAGGCCUAACACAUGCAAGUCGAACGAGUGGCGGACGGGUGAGUACUGUCUGGGAAACUGCCCGAUGGCGGGGGAUAACUACUGGAAACGGUAGCUAAUACCGCAUACCAUCGGAUGUGCCCAGAGGGGAUUGGCUAGUAGGUGGGGUAACGGCUCACCUAGGCGAAGAUACCUAGCUGGUCUGAGAGGAUGAACAGCCACACUGGAACUGAGACACGGUCCAGACUCCUACGGGAGGCAGCAGUGGGUAAGAUGGCACAAUGGGCGCAAGCCGGAUGCAGCCAUGCCGCGUGUAUGAAGAGGGCCUUCGGGUUGUAAAGUACUUUCAGCGAGGAGGCGUUACUCACAGAAGAAGCACCGGCUAACUCCGUGCCAGCAGCCGCGGUAAUAC